UACGUAGGGUGCAAGCGUUAAUCGGAAUUACUGGGCGUAAAGCGUGCGCAGGCGGUUUUGUAAGUCUGACGUGAACUCCCCGGGCUCAACCUGGGAAUUGCGUUGGAGACUGCAAGGCUAGAAUCUGGCAGAGGGGGGUAGAAUUCCACGUGUAGCAGUGAAAUGCGUAGAGAUGUGGAGGAACACCGAUGGCGAAGGCAGCCCCCUGGGUCAAGAUUGACGCUCAUGCACGAAAGCGUGGGGAGCAAACAGG
rnacentral:rRNA from 1 species